rnacentral:rRNA from 1 species
GAUGAACGCUGGCGGCGUGCCUAACACAUGCAAGUCGAACGAAGCACCUUACCUGAUUCUUCGGAUGGAAGUUUGGUGACUGAGUGGCGGACGGGUGAGUAACGCGUGGGUAACCUGCCCUGUACAGGGGGAUAACAGCUGGAAACGGCUGCUAAUACCGCAUAAGCGCACGAGGAGACAUCUCCUUGUGUGAAAAACUCCGGUGGUACAGGAUGGGCCCGCGUCUGAUUAGCUGGUUGGCAGGGUAACGGCCUACCAAGGCAACGAUCAGUAGCCGGUCUGAGAGGAUGAACGGCCACAUUGGAACUGAGACACGGUCCAAACUCCUACGGGAGGCAGCAGUGGGGAAUAUUGCACAAUGGGGGAAACCCUGAUGCAGCAACGCCGCGUGAGUGAAGAAGUAUUUCGGUAUGUAAAGCUCUAUCAGCAGGGAAGAUAAUGACGGUACCUGACGAAGAAGCUCCGGCUAAAUACGUG